rnacentral:rRNA from 1 species
CCUGGUGAAAUUAGCGCUGUGGAACCACCCGAUCCCAUACCGAACUCGGAAGUGAAACGCAGCUGCGCCGAUGG